UAACGCGUAAAGAACUUGCCUCACAGCUAGGGACAACAUUUAGAAAUGAAUGCUAAUACCUGAUAUUAUGAUUUUAAGGCACCUUAGAAUUAUGAAAGCUAUAAGCACUGUGAGAGAGCUUUGCGUCCCAUUAGCUAGUUGGAGAGGUAACAGCUCACCAAGGCGAUGAUGGGUAGCCGGCCUGAGAGGGUGAACGGCCACAAGGGGACUGAGACACGGCCCUU
rnacentral:rRNA from 1 species